rnacentral:rRNA from 1 species
AUUGAACGCUGGCGGCAGGCCUAACACAUGCAAGUCGGGCGCGCGGCUGACGGGUGAGUAAUGUAUGGGGAUCUGCCCGAUGGAGGGGGAUAACUUCGGGAAACUGUCGCUAAUACCGUAUACCAUAAGAUGACCCUAUAUGGGAUUAGCUAGUGGGAGGGUUAACGGCUCACCUAGGCGACGAUCCCUAGCUGGUCUGAGAGGAUGAUCAGCCACACUGGGACUGAGACACGGCCCAGACUCCUACGGGAGGCAGCAGUGGGGAAUAUUGCACAAUGGGCGCAAGCCUGAUGCAGCCAUGCCGCGUGUAUGAAGAAGGCCUUCGGGUUGUAAAGUACUUUCAGUCGGGAGGCGUUACCGACAGAAGAAGCACCGGCUAACUCCGUGCCAGCAGCCGCGGUAAUAC